GGCGGCGGUCAUAGCAGUAGGGAAACGCCCGGACCCAUCCCGAACCCGGAAGCUAAGCCUACCCGCGCCGAUGGUACUGCAACCGAGGGGUUGUGGGAGAGUAGGAAACCGCCGCAC
rfam:Mobiluncus mulieris ATCC 35239 genomic scaffold SCAFFOLD2, whole genome shotgun sequence.